UGGGGAAUAUUGCACAAUGGGCGCAAGCCUGAUGCAGCCAUGCCGCGUGUGUGAAGAAGGCCUUCGGGUUGUAAAGCACUUUCAGCGGGGAGGAAGGCGUUAAGGUUAAUAACCUUGGCGAUUGACGUUACCCGCAGAAGAAGCACCGGCUAACUCCGUGCCAGCAGCCGCGGUAAUACGGAGGGUGCAAGCGUUAAUCGGAAUUACUGGGCGUAAAGCGCACGCAGGCGGUUGAUUGAGUCAGAUGUGAAAUCCCCGGGCUUAACCCGGGAAUUGCAUCUGAUACUGGUCAGCUAGAGGCUUGUAGAGGGGGGUAGAAUUCCAUGUGUGGCGGUGAAAUGCGUAGAGAUGUGGAGGAAUACCGGUGGCGAAGGCGGCCCCCUGGACAAAGACUGACGCUCAGGUGCGAAAGCGUGGGGAGCAAACAGG
rnacentral:rRNA from 1 species